AUANGAGGUCCAGCCUGCCCAGUGACAAAGUUCAACGGCCGCGGUACCCUAACCGUGCGAAGGUAGCAUAAUCACUUGUUCUUUAAAUAAGGACUAGUAUCAACGGCAUCACGAGGGCUAUACUGUCUCCUUUCUCCAAUCAGUGAAACUGAUCUCCCCGUGAAGAAGCGGGGAUUCAACUAUUAGACGAGAAGACCCCAUGGAGCUUCAAGCCCAAAAGCAACUUACUUCUUCAUAACCUCUAAACCACCAAGUUAUGCUUAUUGGCUUUGGGUUGGGGUGACCGCGGAGUACAAUAUAACCUCCACGAUGUAAAGGAUUUCCCCCUUAUCUAAGAACAACAGUUCGAAGAACCUUAAAAAUGUCAUAAAAUGAUCCGAACUUCGAUCAACGGACCAAGUUACCCUGGGGAUAACAGCGCAAUCCAUUUCAAGAGCCCCUAUCGACAAAUGGGUUUACGACCUCGAUGUUGGAUCAGGGUAUCCUAGUGGUGCAGCCGCUACUAAAGGUUCGUUUGUUCAACGAUUA
rnacentral:rRNA from 1 species